GGUAAAUACACACGUCAAUUCAUCGUGGAUUGUCUUCCUUAUUCUGUACCACAGAAGAUGAGGCACCUGAAGUCAGCUCUGUACUCCAGGACCAAUUCAAAAGCUGCAAUCCCAAUAUGGAAAAGUCAUUUUGGAAAUGAUGACUGCCAGCAAGCAAUGAAGGGUGAUGACUUCAUGGGAAUCAAGUAAUGUCCCAUUUCUUAGUGAUUUCUUCCCCUUGGCCGUACCAUUUAAAACAGGGGUCUCAAACUCAAUUUACCUGGGGGCCACUGGGGCUAGGGUUUGGGCGAGGCUGGGCCGCAUCAGGUUUUCCAA